UCCACUUUCCUAUUUCAUUCUAAGCCAUAUUGGGCUGGAGGCACACAUUAUCAUAUCAAAAAGACUCUAAUACCCCUUAACAAAACAAAGCCCAACUGAAUCAUCUUUUUUUUCCCUUCGAAACCUUCAGACGCCGUAAAAAAAAAAAACCCAGAAAUCUCCAAUUUCAUCUCACUCGAUUGAACAACAUUCCUUCGAUUCUAUUCAUCAUCUCGUGUGCUAAUCCAAUAUGCAUCCAUACUUUCAUCAUCUCGUGUGCUACUCUCUCUCUAUGCUUUAAUUUUAAAUCUCAAAUCCCCGAAAAUAUCUAGAGAGGACAUUUGUCGUCGAGAACACAUGUCUCAAGCCGAAUUAAAUCGUCUCUAUGAAGCAUUCCGACACACUUACACAUGAAAUCAAGUCAAACGCCAUUUUCGUUUCUUCAAAGAUUAGGGUUAUGAUUCAAAAGUCAGAUUUAUAAAUCGGGUACUGAAUUAGUUUCCAUCUUCAUCAUGGAUCACGUCUAAAGAUUUGAACUUUUGGUUUGGUGUGAGUCAGAGGAAGAAUCUCGUCAGGGCAUCUCAUCGAAUUAGAGCGACGAGAAGUCCCCGUACGAUACUCUGGAGCUAGAACGAGAAACAGAGGAGCAGAGUAAGGUGGUAUACAGAUGAUUAGCCAAAUAUUAUCAUCUCAGUUUCUCUCAUGUAAAUUUUGUCAUUAUUCUACAAUCUCCCGACAAAUGUUUGCUGUUGUGCUGUUUUCAUUUGUUUGUUUUUAGGUGAAUCUUCACGUUCUUGUUUGUCUUUUCUGUUCAAAUCAUUAACCUCUUUGACAGUUACCAAGCUUCAUGUAUAAUGUUCUUAAGCCUUAGUUACACCCAUCCACAUGAACCUUA